rnacentral:misc_RNA from 1 species
AAAUAUUGGAGCUUGAUCACUUUGCAUCUUUUACAGAUUAUAGUGGUGAUCCCAACAUGGCUAAGAAACUUAACCAUAAUGCAAGCGAACGUCAUCGUCGCAAGAAGAUGAACUGCCUCUAUUCUUCCCUCCGAUUGCUACUUCCGGCAGCCAAUGAAACGAAGAAACUCAGCAGAGCUGCCACAGUUUCUUGGGUGCUAAAGUACAUUCCAGAACUACAACAGCAAGUGGAGAGGCUGGUUCAAAGGAAAGAGGAGCUAUUCUCCAAGCUAUCUAAGCAAGAUCAAACUCAGCAAAUAAAGCCUAAAAAAGGCAUCUCUAGCAGCUUUCUAUCAGCAGUAUCAGCUACUCAGAUCAGUGACUCAGAAGUUGUGAUUCAGAUUUCUACUUACGGCGUCCGUACAAGU